AUGCGCCGGAGCACCACCCAGCGCCCGGGGCCGCGCCGCGGCGCCGGCCUCAAGCCCGACCGCCUCAGCGCCCUCCCGGACGCGCUCCUGCACCAUAUCAUGUCGUCCCUCAAGGCGUGGGAGGCGGUCCGCACCUGCGUGCUCGCGCGGCGGUGGCGCCACCUCUGGGCUUCCUCGCCCUGCGUCGACCUCCGCGUGCGCCACUCCUCUGGCCGCGACGCCGACUCGCCGGAGGAGUUCCGCCACUUCGUGCACCGCCUCUUCCUCCUGCGCGACGCGGCGGCACCCGUGGGCACGCUCCGCCUGCGGUCCGGCGAGGAGGACGCCGGCUACGACGAGGACGACGCCAACACGUGGAUCACGGCCGCCAUCAACCGCAACGCGCGGGUCAUCCAUCUCGCCGGGCAUCGCUCGGAGAUCGCAUCGUUGGACCGCGUGCAGUUCGUCUCCUGCCACCUCAAGGUCCUGAAGCUGUCGUAUGCUAGGCUCGACGACAGGGUCCUCAAGCAGCUCUCUUCCAGCUGCAGGUCUUUGGAGGAGCUGGAUCUCAAGGAUUGCCUAGUGACGGGCGCCGGGAUUGUGUCUGCCUCUUUGAAGACUUUGAUCAUGCUCAAGUGCAAGACCAACUGUGCCUUCUCCGUCGCUGCUCUGAGCCUCCUAAUUCUGCGUGUCACCACGCCUUACGUCCGAGUCCCAUCGUUCAAGAACUUGGGGUCACUGGUCACAGGCAUUAUCAUACUGGAUGACUCUUUCUUGGGUGAUGACUUUGAACACAUCAAUGAUGAAGAUGACUGUGAUGGAACUACUGAUGAUGACGGGGGUGAUGGCGAUGAUAAUGAUUGGACAGAGAGCUCUAAGAUUCAUGAUGACUCUUCCUUGGGUGAUGAUUUUGUAUAUGAUCAUUUUAUAAGGUUUGGAUAUGGACAUACUUUUGCUGAAGAAAGUUACACGCAGGGUCGUUACAAGGAUAAUUUUGAUUAUGGUAGUGAUAUCGACAGCGAUGACAAUACCUAUGAAUACAGUGAGAUUGCAAAUGAUGCAAAGUAUGGCUGCAAAGGUAAAGGCCAGCUUUCCAAUAAAGAUGGUAACUAUGGUGGAAACAGAGAAUGCAAUGGCAGGAAGAUUUUA
rnacentral:rRNA from 1 species